rnacentral:rRNA from 1 species
CAGCCGCCGCGGGAACACGUAGGUGGCGAGCGUUGUCCGGAUUUAUUGGGCGUAAAGGGAGUGUAGGCGGUCUUUUAAGUCUGAUGUGAAAGCCCACGGCUCAACCGUGGAGGGUCAUUGGAAACUGGGAGACUUGAGUGCAGAAGAGGAGAGCGGAAUUCCAUGUGUAGCGGUGAAAUGCUUAGAUAUAUGGAGGAACACCAGUGGCGAAGGCGGCUUUCUGGUCUGUAACUGACGCUGAGGCUCGAAAGCGUGGGGAGCAAACAGGAUUAGAUACCCCUGUAGUCCCUGUCUCUUAUAC